GUGCUCGCUUCGGCAGCACAUACACUAAAAUUGGAAUGAUACAGAGAAGAUUAGCAUGGCCCCUGCACAAGGAUGACACGCAAAUUCAUGAGACCUUCCAUAUUUUU
rnacentral:snRNA from 1 species